AUUGAACGCUGGCGGCAUGCUUUACACAUGCAAGUCGAACGGUAACAGGCCGCAAGGUGCUGACGAGUGGCGAACGGGUGAGUAAUUCAUCGGAACGUGCCCAGUCGUGGGGGAUAACUACUCGAAAGAGUAGCUAAUACCGCAUACGAUCUAUGGAUGAAAGCGGGGGACCGUAAGGCCUCGCGCGAUUGGAGCGGCCGAUGUCAGAUUAGGUAGUUGGUGGGGUAAAGGCUCACCAAGCCAACGAUCUGUAGCUGGUCUGAGAGGACGACCAGCCACACUGGGACUGAGACACGGCCCAGACUCCUACGGGAGGCAGCAGUGGGGAAUUUUGGACAAUGGGCGCAAGCCUGAUCCAGCAAUGCCACGUGCAGGAAGAAGGCCUUCGGGUUGUAAACUGCUUUUGUACGGAACGAAACGGCUCUGGUUAAUACCCGGGGCUAAUGACGGUAACGUAAGAAUAAGCACCGGCUAACUACGUG
rnacentral:rRNA from 1 species